rnacentral:rRNA from 1 species
AUACGGAGGGUGCAAGCGUUACUCGGAAUCACUGGGCGUAAAGUGCGCGCAGGCGGUCUUUUAAGUUGGAUGUAAAAGCCUACGGCUCAUCCGUAGAACUGCAUCCAAAACUAUUAGACUAGAGUGUGGGAGAGGAAGAUGGAAUUAGUUGUGUAGGGGUAAAAUCCGUAGAGAUAACUAGGAAUACCAAAAGCGAAGGCAAUCUUCUGGAACACUACUGACGCUGAGGCGCGAAAGCGUGGGGAGCAAACAGGAUUAGAUACCCUAGUAGUCC